CCCUUAGAUGUUCUGGGCCGCACGCGCGCUACACUGAUGCAUUCAACGAGUCUAAAACCUGCUCUGAUAGGGGUGGGUAAUCUUUUGAAUGUGCAUCGUGAUUGGGAUAGAUGAUUGCAAUUCCUCAUCUUCAACGAGGAAUGCCUAGUAAACGCAAGUCAUCAGCUUGCAUUGAUUACGUCCCUGCCCUUUGUACACACCGCCCGUCGCUCCUACCGAUUGAAUGAUCCGAUGAAUAUCAUGGAUUGAGGAUGCAAGUAGGUUCGCCUAUCUUCAUCUUCGAGAAGUGAAGUAAAUCUUAUCAUUUAGAGGAAGGAGAAGUCGUAACA
rnacentral:rRNA from 1 species